rnacentral:rRNA from 1 species
AGCCUAUACAGGUGUUGCAUGGCUGUCGUCAGCUUCGUGUCGUGAGAUGUUCGGUUAAGUCCGCUAACGAGCGCAACCCUCGUCGUAUGUUGUAUGUGUCAUACGAGACUGGCCGGUAAAAGCCGGAGGAAGGUGAGGAUGAUGUCAAGUCAGCAUGACCUUUAUAUCCAGGGCUACACACACGCUACAAUGGUCUGUACAAUGGGUAGCCAAGCCGCGAGGCGGAGCCAAUCCUGAAAGCAGGCCUCAGUUCAGAUUGCAGUCUGCAACUCGACUGCAUGAAGCCGGAGUUGCUAGUAACCGCAGGUCAGCAAUACUGCGGUGAAUACGUUCCCGGGUCUU